rnacentral:rRNA from 1 species
GGAAUUGACGGAAGGGCACCACCAGGAGUGGAGCUUGCGGCUUAAUUUGACUCAACACGGGACAACUCACCAGGCCCGGACACCGUAAGGAUUGACAGACUGAUAGCUCUCUCUUGAUUCAGUGGGUGGUGGUGCAUGGCCGUUCUUAGUUGGUGGAGUGAUUUGUCUGGUUUAUUCCGAUAACGAACGAGACUCUGGCCUAUUAAACUUGAUGCCGCCAGUCCUUAUGUGACUGCGGUAUGCUUCUUAGAGGGAUCAUCGGCGUCCCAGCCGAAGGAAAGGGAGCAAUAACAGGUCUGUGAUGCCCUUAGAUGUUCUGGGCUGCACGCGUGUUACACUGAAGUGGUCAGCGCGCCGUUCAACGUCCCACUCCGAGAGGAGCGGGCAAACGUUUGAACCCUUUUCGUGAUGGGAAUUGGGGGUUGCAAUUGUCCCCCAUGAACGAGGAAUUCCAAGUAAGCGCAGGUCACUAGCCUGCGUUGAUUAAGUCCCUGCCCUUUGUACACACCGCCCGUCGCUACUACCGAUGGAUGAUUUGGUGAGGUCGCCUAGACUGGCCACUGGCUUAGGCCGUGUGGCCGGGAAGACGCCCAAACUUGGUC